AACGAACGCUGGCGGCAUGCCUAACACAUGCAAGUCGAACGAGACCUUCGGGUCUAGUGGCGCACGGGUGCGUAACGCGUGGGACCCUGCCCUUAGGUUCGGAAUAACUCCCCGCAAGGGGUGCUAAUACCGGAUAAUGUCUUCGGACCAAAGAUUUAUCGCCUUUGGAUGGGCCCGCGUUGGAUUAGCUAGUUGGUAGGGUAAAAGCCUACCAAGGCGACGAUCCAUAGCUGGUCUGAGAGGAUGAUCAGCCACACUGGGACUGAGACACGGCCCAGACUCCUACGGGAGGCAGCAGUGGGGAAUAUUGGACAAUGGGCGAAAGCCUGAUCCAGCAAUGCCGCGUGAGUGAUGAAGGCCUUAGGGUUGUAAAGCUCUUUUACCCGGGAUGAUAAUGACAGUACCGGGAGAAUAAGCUCCGGCUAACUCCGUG
rnacentral:rRNA from 1 species